UAAAACGUUACUGGAGACAGGAGACCAAGUUGAGACACAGGACGAGGUGGAUAAGGUAUAAUAAAGGCAGUUUAUUCAGAGGUAAAGAUAUCUUGGAAAGCGUGCACGGACUCGUUCGUCAAACUCGUAGGGAGCUAUCUGAAGAGAGCCCCGAAACAUUGUGUGCAGUUACAUUUUAUACAUUGUCUUGACGUAGGUAGGUUCCGGUAGUCUGUGCUCCUGACUGGUCAAUGAGGGUUGAGGAAAGUCCCGACGCUGUUGCUGUGUAGAUUACGCUCCCUCACCCCAAAGACUGAGGUCAGACAGUUUCUGCAAUACUGUCUGAGCUAUUCGCACCCGUAUACAAUGGCCACUGUUCGCUCAAGGCUAACCACAGCUUCCCAGCUUCUUAUCUGAGCUAACUGUUACUUCCAGCACACACACACAUUUCAGACUGCUUGUUCAUAUCUUAUGCUCAGAUACAUUUGUUGCAAUUUCAGGCUGUGGCCUCAUGGUUAGACAAAGCACUGGUAAGAGUAGAGACUAAUGGGAAAUGCAGUAGUUAUAACAGGUUCUAAGUAGUUAUAACAGGUUCUAACAGUUCAACGCUGUUAAUUAAGGAUAUUAUUUAUUACACGCCUCCAUUUGAAAUUGAGGGUUAUGGUGUAGGGGUUACCGGCCGACCAUCAUCACCAUCGCUGACUUUGGAGUCAAGCAAAAGCGACUGAACGGAGGAGGCGAUGCAAUGGAGCCAGAGGAAAGAACAGUUAGUACAGCAUACAAAACUGACCCCUGGGUGCCAGAGUGUUCCUGUGCUGUGGUGGAGAAGAGGUCCACGGGACCAUCACUAAAGAGCUCGGGGCCCAGCUAAAUUGCACUCACGACCAUCAGUAUACAGCCGAGUCCUGCCCCUAAAUGCCACAGAUGGAGCUGACGGAGAGUGAGAUCAGUGAAGACAAUAACUGUAUGAACCUGAGAGCUCAGAAUCACAAUGAUCACAGUGCGAGCCGAGAUAUACUAUCGAUCACAUUGGGGGAGCGGACUGGUGUUCCGAAAAUGGAGAAGGAGCAGGCCUUUCAACAGCGAAUUCAAAGAUACACCCAUCCAUAAAGGGAAUCUGAGUGGAAUUGUUUUUCCACUGAUUUUGAAUAAAUAAAUAACAAUUUAAUUGGA